AUACGUAGGGGGCGAGCGUUGUCCGGAAUGAUUGGGCGUAAAGGGCGCGUAGGCGGCCCGGUAAGUCUGGAGUGAAAGUCCUGUUUUUAAGAUGGGAAUUGCUUUGGAUACUGUCGGGCUUGAGUGCAGGAGAGGUAAGUGGAAUUCCCAGUGUAGCGGUGAAAUGCGUAGAGAUUGGGAGGAACACCAGUGGCGAAGGCGACUUACUGGACUGCAACUGACGCUGAGGCGCGAAAGUGUGGGGAGCAAACAGGAUUAGAUACCCUGGUAGUCCACACUGUAAACGAGGAAUGCUAGGUGUAAGAGGUAUCGAACCCUUUUGUGCCGGAGUCAACACAAUAAGCAUUCCGCCUGGGGAGUACGGCCGCAAGGUUGAAACUCAAAUGAAUUGACGGGG
rnacentral:rRNA from 1 species